rnacentral:rRNA from 1 species
UACGCAGGGGGCAAGCGUUAUCCGGAAUUACUGGGUGUAAAGGGAGCGUAGACGGUAAUGUAAGUCUGGAGUGAAAGGCGGGGGCCCAACCCCCGGACUGCUCUGGAAACUAUGUUACUAGAGUGCAGGAGAGGUAAGCGGAAUUCCUAGUGUAGCGGUGAAAUGCGUAGAUAUUAGGAGGAACACCAGUGGCGAAGGCGGCUUACUGGACUGUAACUGACGUUGAGGCUCGAAAGCGUGGGGAGCAAACAGG